GUCUAUGGCCAUGACACCCUGAACAAGCCCGAUUCCCGUCUGAUCUUGGAAGCUAAGCAGGGUCGGGCCUGGUUAGUACUUGGAUGGGAGACCACCUAGGAAGACCAGGUGCUGUAGGCG
rnacentral:rRNA from 1 species